UCGGGGCUCCUCGUGGAGAGCCAGGGGCUCCUGCCGGCCUGUGACUGGGGUGUCGUUGCAGGGACGUCCCCAUGUUGCGUUUUCCAACCUGUUUCCCGUCCUUCCGGGUGGUGGGAGAGAAGCAGCUCCCGCAGGAGAUUAUUUUCCUGGUCUGGUCGCCCAAGCGGGAUCUCAUUGCUUUGGCCAACACAGCGGGCGAGGUUUUACUUCAUCGACUGGCAAGUUUUCAUCGAGUUUGGAGUUUUCCACCAAAUGAAAAUACAGGAAAGGAGGUGACGUGUUUGGCAUGGAGACCAGAUGGCAAACGUAAUGAUAAUAUUACAAAAAAUAUAUUUUUAUUUUCACAAAGUGUAUUCUGUAAAGCCCAUUUUCAGAAAGGAUUUAUUGUUCUUAGUAUACAUUAGAAUUAUAAAUAUCAAUUUGGGAACUUUUU
rnacentral:sRNA from 1 species